CUUUGGACCACAGCGUUUUAGGAACUUCUUAAAGUCAUGUGCUCUACCAACUGAGCUAUGAAGGUGCUUAUAGAUAAAAACGCAGAAAACAUAGUGGCUUCGGCGACACACUUUGCCAACAUAACUAUUGAACCAACAUGGUCAAUGAAAAAGGUUGAACAGUGCAUAGACCAAUGAAAUGUGGUGUUUGGAGCAGGAGUUGAACCAGCGUCCUUUGGACCACAGCGUUUCAGGAACUUAUUAAAGUCAUGUGCUCUACCAACUGAGCUAUGAAGGUGCUUAUAGAUAAAAACGCAGAAAACAUAGUGGCUUCGGCGACACACUUUGCCAACAAUACAAUUGGACCCACAUGGUCAAUGAAAAAGGUUGAACAGUGCUUAGACAAAUGAAAUCUGGUGUUUGGAGCAGGAGUUGAACCAGCGACCUUUGGACCACAGCGUUUCGGGAACUUCUUAAAGUCAUGUGCUCUACCAACUGAGCUAUGAAGGUGCUUAUACAUAAAAACGCAGAAAACAUAGUGGCUUCGGCGACACACUUUGCCAAAACAACAAUCAAGCCACCUGGUCAAUGAAAAAGGAUGAACAGUGCAUAUACAAAUGAAAUCUGGUGCUUGGAGCUGGAGUUGAACCAGCGACCUUUGGACCACAGCGUUUCAGGAACUUCUUAAAGUCAUGUGCUCUACCAACUGAGCUAUGAAGGUGCUUAUAGAUAAAAACGCAGAAAACAUAGUGGCUUCGGCGACACACUUUGCCAACAUAACUAUUGAACCAACAUGGUCAAUGAAAAAGGUUGAACAGUGCAUAUACAAAUGAAAUCUGGUGUUUGGAGCUGGAGUUGAACCAGCGACCUUUGGACCACAGCGUUUCAGGAACUUCUUAAAGUCAUGUGCUCUACCAACUGAGCUAUGAAGGUGCUUAUAGAUAAAAACGCAGAAAACAUAGUGGCUUCGGCGACACACUUUGCCAACAAUACAAUUGGACCCACAUGGUCAAUGAAAAAGGUUGAACAGUGCUAAGACAAAUGAAAUCUGGUGUUUGGAGCUGGAGUUGAACCAGCGACCUUUGGACCACAGCGUUUCAGGAACUUCUUAAAGUCAUGUGCUCUACCAACUGAGCUAUGAAGGUGCUUAUAGAUAAAAACGCAGAAAACAUAGUGGCUUCGGCGACACACUUUGCCAAAACAACAAUCAAGCCACCUGGUCAAUGAAAAAGGAUGAACAGUGCAUAUACAAAUGAAAUCUGGUGCUUGGAGCUGGAGUUGAACCAGGGACCUUUGGACCACAGCGUUUCAGGAACUUCUUACAGUCAUGUGCUCUACCAACUGAGCUAUGAAGGUGCUUAUAGAUGAAAACGCAGAAAACAUAGUGGCUUCGGCGACACACUUUGCCAACACAACAAUCAAGCCACCUGGUCAAUGAAAAAGGUUGAACAGUGCAUAAAUCAAUGAAAUCUGGUGUUUGGAGCAGGAGUUGAACCAGCGACCUUUGGACCACAGCAUUUCAGGAACUUCUUAAAGUCAUGUGCUCUACCAACUGAGCUAUGAAGGUGCUUAUAGAUAAAAACGCAGAAAACAUAGUGGCUUCGGCGACACACUUUGCCAAAACAACAAUCAAGCCACCUGGUCAAUGAAAAAGGAUGAACAGUGCAUAUACAAAUGACAACUGGAUGCUUGGAGCUGGAGUUGAACCAGCGACCUUUGGACCACAGCGUUUCAGGAACUUCUUAAAGUCAUGUGCUCUACCAA
rnacentral:lncRNA from 1 species